rnacentral:hammerhead_ribozyme from 1 species
AUCCAGAUGACAAGCCUCAAACAGGACGAAACGUAUGUCCUGGAU